ACUAAGUUCGACACUCUCGAUACAUUAGAAGAAUGAGAUCAAAAUGUCUUUCAAUGAUUAAUAAUGAGAUAAAAUUUGUAAUAGAAAAGGGAUAGAGAAUUCUAAAUUCUAAUUCAGCAAAGUUUCAAGUGAAAUGUACUCUUAAAGGCAAAAUAGUAAUCUUAAUUGUUAAGAGUAUGUAGCACUACCAUGGCAUACAUUCAAAAUUGCUUGAAAUAUAUUUCAUUGAUUGUAUGGAUGAGUCUAACCUUAAGAUGCAGCAAAGUGUGGAAUGAGUCGACCCCAACAUAGGUGGAGUUAACCCUGGCACUUCAUGGAACCAUCAGGCACACCUCUGCAAAAAUGGCACGGAUGAACAAUAGUGGAGUCGACCCCAAGUAUGCUUGAGUCAACCCCAGGAGCGGAGCCGACCCCAAAGAACCUUGAGUCGACCCCAGCUUCAAGCCUCAAAAAAUAAGUCUCUGAAAUUUACUGAGAGGGCCGACCCCAACUUUCCUUGAGCCGACCCCAGAUGGAGCCGACCCCAGGAAUGCUUGAGUCGACCCCAAUGGAGUCGACCCCAACUAAACAUGAGUCGACCCCAAGGCUAUGUCGUUCAAAACUGUGUCUCUGGAAUCCCUGAAAGGGUCGACCCCAAUGAAACUUGAGUCAACCCCACUGUAGCUUGAGUCGACCCCAAAAGGAGUUGAGUCGACCCCAGUGAAAAACAGCUGACAUGCAAGGUUCUGUGAUUUCUGAGAGGGCCGACCCCGCUGUAACAAGAGUCGACCCCAGUGAAAGUUGGGUCGACCCCAGUGGAGGUUGAGUCGACCCC
rnacentral:lncRNA from 1 species